UCAUAAGGUGUGACGAAAUUUUUGUGUUGGUUGUCACCAUCUCAACUUAUUAUAUACGAUAAGCAUAUUUGCAGAGCAGGAAAUGAGCUGGGAGUUCUGCUAAGAGGCAAAUUUUGCAUUCCUUAUUUCUAUAAUGAAAUCCAGUUAUCAACUAAACCACAACAAUGACGUGUGAUAUGAAUUGCAACUAUUCUAGGCACCAGACAGCACGAGGAAAGGUAAAAAAAGAUAAUAGCCCAAAUCAAAUUCCAAAAUGCACUAUACCUAGAAAGAUGAGGAUAAGGCAG
rnacentral:misc_RNA from 1 species